rnacentral:misc_RNA from 1 species
GCGUGGGGUGUUGUGUGUGGGUUGUUGGUUAAGGGACAAUGAAAUAUGAGAUUUAGGAACAAUUAUGUCAUGGGGUAACUAAUUAUGUUAUGGGGUAGAAAUUUUGAAUGGGAUAUAUGGCAAAUGGGAUUUAGGAAGCCUUAACACUUUAAUUAAGCAUGCCCAGAUGGGCCAUUUUUUGCUACCGACAAGAAUAAUAAUCCUAUAGAUACCUUGAUGCCCUUCUUAUCAAACAAUUAUAUCAAAUCAAGGAGAGAUGUAAGUCACGGUUGCUUUAAAUUUUAAUUUUUAAUCGAAAGUAUGUUAAAUAUAAUCAGGCUUUA